CGUCGUGAGACAGUUCGGUCCCUAUCUGUUGUGGGCGUUGGAAGCUUGCGGGGAUCUGACCUUAGUACGAGAGGACCGGGUUGGACGGACCCCUGGUGUACCUGUUGUGGUGCCAGCUGCAUCGCAGGGUAGCUAUGUCCGGAAGGGAUAAGCACUGAAAGCAUCUAAGUGCGAAACCCACCCCAAGAUGAGGCUUCCUCAUAAGGGCCGUCAUAGACGAUGACGUCGAUAGGCUGCAGGUGUAAAGUCAGAGAUGGCACAG
rnacentral:rRNA from 1 species